AGGGCGUACGGUGAAUGCCUUGGUGCCAACAGGCGAAGAAGGACGCGGCAAGCUGCGAAAAACCUCGGGAAGCUGCAAGCAAGCGAUGAUCCGGGGGUGUCCGAAUGGGGUAACCUGACUGGGGUAAUACCUGGUCGUUCAUACCUGAAUACAUAGGGUAUGAAACGCAAUACCCGCUGAAGUGAAACAUCUCAGUAAGCGGAGGAAAAGAAAGAGAAAUCGAUUCCGUAAGUAGUGGCGAGCGAAAGCGGAUGGAGCCCAAACCGAAGGUACUCCUUCGGGGUUGUAGGACCACGACAUAUUCGACCAUAGUGGAUAGUAGAACAGUCUGGAAAGGCUGGCCAUAGAAGGUGAAAGCCCUGUAGACGAAAUCCAGAGUGGGAAUUAGUGGUAUCCUGAGUAAUACAUCACACGUGGAACGAUGUAUGAAUCAGCGCGGACCACCGCGCAAGGCUAAAUACUAGUUGGCGACCGAUAGUGAACAAGUACCGCGAGGGAAAGGUGAAAAGAACCGCUGUGAGCGGAGUGAAAUAGAACCUGAAACCGUAUGUCUACAAAGUGUCAGAGCAGAGCAAUCUGCGAUGGCGUGCCUUUUGUUUAAUGAGUCUGCGAGUCAGUGUUUGUGGCAAGACUAAGGGCUUCCGGCCCGGAGUCGCAGCGAAAGCAAGUCCGAAUAGGGCGCAUUAAGUCGCAGGUACUGGACCCGAAGCGGAGGUGACCUACCCUUGGCCAGGUUGAAGCAUGGGUAAAACCAUGUGGAGGACCGAACAGGUGAACGUUGAAAAGUUCUCUGAUGAGCUGAGGGUAGGAGUGAAAGGCUAAUCAAACCCCGUGAUAGCUGGUUCUCUUCGAAAUGCAUUUAGGUGCAGCGUCACGUGCUGAUGCGCGGGGGUAGAGCACUGACAAGGCUAGGGGGCACACCCGCUUACCAAACCUUAUCAAACUCCGAAUACCGUGCAAUGGAACGUGGCAGUGAGACAGUGGGGGAUAAGCUUCAUUGUCGAGAGGGAAACAACCCAGACCAGCAGCUAAGGUGCCUAAAUAACGCUGAGUGGAAAGGAUGUGGGAUUACACAGACAGUGAGGAUGUUGGCUUAGAAGCAGCCACCAUUUAAAAAAUGCGUAAUAGCUUACUCAUCGAGUGAUCCUGCGCCGAAAAUGAUUGGCGAUCAAGCGUUAUACCGAAGCUCUGGACUUUGCCGCAAGGCAGAGUGGUAGAAGAGCGUUGCAUGCGCAUUGAAGGGUGAUGGCGACUGACCCUGGAGCGCAUGCAAGUGAGUAUGCAGACAUGAGUAACGUAAAGCCGGGUGAAAUCCCCGGCCGCCGUAAACCCGAGGUUUCCAGGGCAACGUGUUUCGUCCCUGGGUUAGCCGGGACCUAAGCCGAGGCCGAGAGGCGUAGGCGAUGGAUAUCAGGUUAAUAAUCCUGAGCUCGCGACCCUUAAACUGGGGGGACGCAUGAGAAGAGAUGACCAGGUUAUUGAAUUCCGAGCUGGGUCCACGGACCCAGCGCAUCAUCAAAUCGAGUGCCAAGAAAAGCCCCAGCGUAUGCUAAGCGACCCGUACCGCAAACCGACACAGGUGGGUGGGUAGAAUAUACCAAGGCGUAAGAGUGAAACCUGGUUAAGGAACUCGGCAAAUUAGCCCCGUAACUUCGGAAGAAGGGGUGCCUGCAGCGAUGCAGGCCGCAGAGAAAUGGCCCAACCGACUGUUUAUCAAAAACACAGCACUCUGCAAAGACGCAAGUCGAAGUAUAGGGUGUGACACGUGACCAAUGCCGAAAGAUUAAGGCAAGGGGUUAGCCGCAAGGCGAAGCUCUGAACCCAAGUCCCGGUGAAUGUCGGCCGUAACUAUAACGGUCCUAAGGUAGCGAAAUUCCUUGUCGGGUAAGUUCCGACCUGCACGAAUCGUGAAACGAGUUGGGCACUGUCUCAACCAGGCGCUCAGUGAAAUUGUAGUGGCGGUGAAGAUGCCGCCUACCCGCAGAAGGACGGAGAGACCCUAUAGACCUUAACUGUAAGCUGUCAUUGUUUCUUCGGUUUUAAUGCUCAGAGUAAGUGGGAGACGCUGAAGAUGCCCUUUAGGGGGCAUCCGAGUCAUCAAUGAGACACCACCCUUUGAAACUGGAGGAUCUAACCCUGAGCCGUGAAUCCGGCCAGAGGACCGUGUCAGCCGGUCAGUUUUACUGGGGCGGUAUCCUCCCAAAGAGUAACGGAGGAGCGCGAAGGUGGGCUCAGCCCGGUUGGCAACCGGGUGUCGAGUGCAUGGGCAUAAGCCCGCCUAACUGUGAGACCAACAAGUCGAGCAGAUGCGAAAGCAGGCCCAAGUGAUCCGGCGGUAGAAAGUGGAAUUGCCGUCGCUCAACGGAUAAAAGGUACCUUAGGGAUAACAGGCUGAUCACGCCCAAGAGUUCAUAUCGACGGCGUGGUUUGGCACCUCGAUGUCGGCUCGUCGCAUCCUGGGGCUGGAGAAGGUCCCAAGGGUCCGGCUGUUCGCCGGUUAAAGCGGCACGCGAGCUGGGUUCAGAACGUCGCGAGACAGUUCGGUCCUCUAUCCUCUGUGGGCGUUGGAAAAUUGAGGGGUUCAGACCUUAGUACGAGAGGACCGGGUCUGACGCACCACUGGUGCAUCGGUUGUACUGUCAAGUGCAUGGCCGAGUAGCUAAGUGCGGAAGGGAUAAGCGCUGAAAGCAUCUAAGCGCCAAGCCCAUCCCAAGAUGAGUUUUCCCUAUAGGUUCGUGGAAGACCACCACGUCGAUAGGUCGCAGGUGUAAGUGCAGCAAUGUAUUGAGCCAAGCGAUACUAAUCACCGAUAGACUUCAUC
rnacentral:rRNA from 2 species